rnacentral:rRNA from 1 species
AGAGUUUGAUCCUGGCUCAGAACGAACGCUGGCGGCGUGCCUAACACAUGCAAGUCGGAUCUGCCGCAAGGUGCAUGGCAGACGGGUGAGUAACGCGUGGGGAAUCUACCUCUUUGCGGGGAAUAACGCUCCGAAAGGAGUGGUAUUACCGCAUGAGACCUUCGGCCAGGAUGCUGGAGGUGAAACCUGGGGACCGCACGGCCUGGGGCAAGGAGAGGAUCCUGCGUCUGAUUAGCCAGUUGGCGGGGUAAUGGCCCACCAAGGCGACGAUCAAUAGCCGGCCCGAGAGGGUGAUCGCCCACACUGGAACUGAGACACGGUCCAGACUCCUACGGGAGGCAGCAGUGGGGAAUUUUGCGCAAUGGACGAGAGUCUGACGCAGCAACGCCGCGUGGGUGAUGAAGGUCUUCGGACUGUAAAACCCUGUCGUCAGAGA